rnacentral:rRNA from 1 species
CCUACGGGUGGCAGCAGUGAGGAAUAUUGGUCAAUGGACGAGAGUCUGAACCAGCCAAGUAGCGUGAAGGAUGACUGCCCUAUGGGUUGUAAACUUCUUUUAUAUGGGAAUAAAAUGUUCCACGUGUGGGUUUUUGUAUGUACCAUAUGAAUAAGGAUCGGCUAACUCCGUGCCAGCAGCCGCGGUAAUACGGAGGAUCCGAGCGUUAUCCGGAUUUAUUGGGUUUAAAGGGAGCGUAGGUGGAUUGUUAAGUCAGUUGUGAAAGUUUGCGGCUCAACCGUAAAAUUGCAGUUGAAACUGGCCGUCUUGAGUACAGUAGAGGUGGGCGGAAUUCGUGGUGUAGCGGUGAAAUGCUUAGAUAUCACGAAGAACUCCGAUUGCGAAGGCAGCUCACUGAACUGCAACUGACACUGAGGCUCGAAAGUGUGGGUAUCAAACAGGAUUAGAUACCCGAGUAGUC